UCGAAACCACGUGAUCGAAACCAAAUGGAGAAAAGAAGAAAAAAAUUUUUUUUUUUCGUAGCCGUUCGUAGGAAGUGACUCUAGUAGGAAGGGUUCGCCUGUUCGCAUCAUCUGCAUCUUUUUGCGGGUUGGAGUCUGUUAUGUUAUGAAUGUAGUUCAGUAACUCAAGAACUGUUACGAUAUGCUGCGGAUGCAGGAGAGGAGAGGCCAUUGAGUUGACCAGCACAAUGACCCAGUAAACCAGAAAUGUCCCAGAGACGUCCCAGAAAAGUCGCACACGUCACAUAUGUCCAAGAGGUCCACCAGACGUUAUCUGGACGUCCACAUUGUGACGUUGAAAAUCGUCUGACAUUGUAUCUCCCAGGGACAUCUGCAGCAUGUAAAAAGAAUUGCCCCAGCGCAUGAUAUUUUGCACACAUAUCUGGGACACGUCUUUUGCGCCAAAAAAAAACAAUCAAUCAAUCUGGGACACGUGAUGCUUACUGGAAUGACAUUGUGUUUUCCACCCAUGAAAAGGAAUUUCAUUGCUCUAUUAUGCCAUCAAUCAUGCAUCAACGUAAGUAGAGGAGGUACGUGGAGGGACACGUUA